rnacentral:rRNA from 1 species
GAUGAACGCUGGCGGCGUGCCUAAUACAUGCAAGUCGAGCGAACAAACGAGGAGCUUGCUCCUCUGACGUUAUCGGCGCACGGGUGAGUAACGCGUGGAUAACGUCCCUAUACGACUGGGAUAACUUCGGAACACCGGCGCUAAUACCGGAUAAUAUAUUGAACCAUAUGGUUCAAUAGAAAAAUACGGUUUUGCUAUCACUUGUAGAUGCUUCCGCGCCGCAUUAGCUAGUUGGUAAGGUAACGGCUUACCAAGACAACGAUGCGUAGCCGACCUGAGAGGGUGAUCGGCACAACUGGAACUGAGAAACGGUCCAGACCCUUACGGGAGGCAGCAGUGGGGAAUCUUCGGCAAUGGGCGAAAGCCUGACGGAGCAACGCGGCGUGAGUGAUGAAGGUCUUCGGAUCGUAAAACUCUGUUAUUAGGGAAGAACAAAUGUGUAAGUAACUAUGCACGUUUUGACGGUACCUAAUCAGAAAGCCACGGCUAACUACGUG